rnacentral:hammerhead_ribozyme from 1 species
AUCCAGUUGACGAGUCCCAAAAAGAACGAAAUGCGCAUCCUGGAU